rnacentral:rRNA from 1 species
UACGGAGGGUGCAAGCGUUAUCCGGAUUCACUGGGUUUAAAGGGUGCGUAGGUGGGCAGGUAAGUCAGUGGUGAAAUCUCUGGGCUUAACCCAGAAACUGCCGUUGAUACUAUCUGUCUUGAAUAUAGUGGAGGUGAGCGGAAUAUGUCAUGUAGCGGUGAAAUGCUUAGAUAUGACAUAGAACACCCAUUGCGAAGGCAGCUCGCUACACUAUUAUUGACACUGAGGCACGAAAAGCGUGGGGAUCAAACAGG